rnacentral:lncRNA from 1 species
GAAAGCGUUGGAGAGGUGUUACCGGAACGGCGGCGACAAGGGUGUUCCCGAACUAGAGUGGGGCAUACAUAAUCUUGCUGCUAUGCUUCGAAGCUGUAGUCUGAAUCAACCUAAGUUUUAAACAGAAGGUGAACCUCUGAGCAUACAGGAAAGGAUCAAUCUAGAAGGAUUCAUUUAGUAAACAUUUAUUAAAUGCCUGCUAUGAACUAAGCCUUGGGAUACAAAAAUAAAGAAGAAACCAUGCCCUGGUUAUGUGAGUCACUGGUUCUUGAACAGGGUUGUGUAUCAGUGUUGGAAUAAAGUACAAAGAUAUUAGACUUAUAGAAAAUCAAGUAUAUUUUAAAAGAAGGGAUGUGGGAUCAAGGAGGACAGCCUUGGCAGCAGUGGCCCUUGAACCAGCAACAAUGGAUGCAGUCAUUCCAGCACCAACAGGAUCCAAGCCAGAUUGAUUGGGCUGCAUUGGCCCAAGCUUGGAUUGCCCAAAGAGAAGCUUCAGGACAGCAAAGCAUGGUAGAACAACCACCAGGAAUGAUGCCAAAUGGACAAGAUAUGUCUACAAUGGAAUCUGGUCCAAACAAUCAUGGGAAUUUCCAAGGGGAUUCAAACUUCAACAGAAUGUGGCAACCAGAAUGGGGAAUGCAUCAGCAACCCC